rnacentral:tRNA from 1 species
GCCUGGGUGGCUCAGUUGGUUAAGCAUCCGACUUCGGCUCGGGUCAUGAUCUCGCGGUCCGUGAGUUCGAGCCCCAUGUCGGGCU